GACGAACGCUGGCGGCGUGCUUAACACAUGCAAGUCGAACGGUAAGGCCCUUCGGGGUACACGAGUGGCGAACGGGUGAGUAACACGUGGGUGAUCUGCCCUGCACUUCGGGAUAAGCCUGGGAAACUGGGUCUAAUACCGGAUAGGACUCCUGGCUUCAUGGUUGGGGGUGGAAAGCUUUUGCGGUGUGGGAUGGGCCCGCGGCCUAUCAGUUUGUGGGUGGGGUAAUGGACUACCAAGGCGACGACGGGUAGCCGGCCUGAGAGGGUGACCGGUCACACUGGGACUGAGAUACGGCCCAGACUCAUACGGGAGGCAGCAGUGGGGAAUAUUGCACAAUGGGCGCAAGCCUGAUGCAGCGACGCCGCGUGAGGGAUGACGGCCUUCGGGUUGUAAACCUCUUUCAGCUAUGACGAAGCGCAAGUGACGGUAGUAGCAGAAGAAGGACCGGCCAACUACGUGCCAGCAGCCGCCGUAA
rnacentral:rRNA from 1 species